rnacentral:rRNA from 1 species
GAUUAGAUACCCCACUAUGCCCGACCGAAAAAUAUUUAAUUACACCUAAACACGCCAGGGAACUACGAGCUUAGCUUAAAACCCAAAGGACUUGACGGUGUCCCACCCUACUAGAGGAGCCUGUCCUAUAAUUGAUGACCCCCGCUAAACCUUACCAUUUUUUGCUAUCAGCCAGUAUACUUCCGUCGUAAGUUCACCAUAUAAAUGUGCUCAGUGGACUCAAUGGUCACCCCCACCAAUACGUCAGGUCAAGGUGCAGCUUAAGAAAUGGAUUGAGAUGGGCUACAAUUUCUAACUUAGAACAUACGGAAUACUGUAUGAAACACAGCUAUAAAGGCGGAUUUAGAAGUAAAAAGAAAAUAGCGUGUUCUUUUUAAUUAGGCCCUGGGACGUGUACACACCGCCCGUCCC